UACGUAGGGUGCGAGCGUUGUCCGGAAUUACUGGGCGUAAAGAGCUCGUAGGCGGUUUGUCACGUCGUCUGUGAAAUCCCUCGGCUUAACCGGGGGCGUGCAGGCGAUACGGGCAGACUUGAGUACUACAGGGGAGACUGGAAUUCCUGGUGUAGCGGUGAAAUGCGCAGAUAUCAGGAGGAACACCGGUGGCGAAGGCGGGUCUCUGGGUAGUAACUGACGCUGAGGAGCGAAAGCAUGGGUAGCGAACAGG
rnacentral:rRNA from 4 species